AACGAACGCUGGCGGCAUGCCUAACACAUGCAAGUCGAACGAGACCUUCGGGUCUAGUGGCGCACGGGUGCGUAACGCGUGGGAACCUGCCCUUAGGUUCGGAAUAACUCCCCGAAAGGGGUGCUAAUACCGGAUAAUGUCUUCGGACCACAGAUUUAUCGCCUUUGGAUGGGCCCGCGUUGGAUUAGCUAGUUGGUAGGGUAAAAGCCUACCAAGGCGACGAUCCAUAGCUGGUCUGAGAGGAUGCGCAGCCACACUGGGACUGAGACACGGCCCAGACUCCUGCGGGAGGCAGCAGUGGGGAAUAUUGGACAAUGGGCGAAAGCCUGAUCCAGCAAUGCCGCGUGAGUGAUGAAGGCCUUAGGGUUGUAAAGCUCUUUUACCCGGGAUGAUAAUGACAGUACCGGGAGAAUAAGCGCCGGCUAACUCCGUG
rnacentral:rRNA from 1 species